rnacentral:rRNA from 1 species
AUUGAACGCUGGCGGCAGGCCUAACACAUGCAAGUCGAACGAGUGGCGGACGGGUGAGUAAUGUCUGUGAAUCUGCCCGAUGGAGGGGGAUAACUACUGGAAACGGUAGCUAAUACCGCAUACUAUCUGAUGAACCCAUAUGGGAUUGGCUAGUAGGUGGGGUAAUGGCUCACCUAGGCGACGAUCCCUAGCUGGUCUGAGAGGAUGACCAGCCACACGGGAACUGAGACACGGUCCAGACUCCUACGGGAGGCAGCAGUGGGGAAUAUUGCACAAUGGGCGCAAGCCUGAUGCAGCCAGGCCGCGUGUAUGAAGAAGGCCUUCGGGUUGUAAAGUACUUUCAGCGAGGAGGCGUUACUCGCAGAAGAAGCACCGGCUAACUCCGUGCCAGCAGCCGCGGUAAUUC